rnacentral:tRNA from 1 species
GCCGCCGUGGUGGAAUGGUAGACACCGCAGACUUAAAAUCUGCUGACCUCACAGUCGUGCCGGUUCGAGUCCGGCCGGCGGUA